rnacentral:rRNA from 1 species
AGCGAACGCUGGCGGCAGGCCUAACACAUGCCAGUCGAACGAACUCUUCGGAGUUAGUGGCGGACGGGUGAGUAACACGUGGGAACAUGCCUUUAGGUUCGGAAUAACUCAGGGAAACUUGUGCUAAUACCGAAUGUGCCCUUCGGGGGAAAGAUUUAUCGCCUUUAGAGCGGCCCGCGUCUGAUUAGCUAGUUGGUGAGGUAAAGGCUCACCAAGGCGACGAUCAGUAGCUGGUCUGAGAGGAUGAUCAGCCACAUUGGGACUGAGACACGGCCCAAACUCCUACGGGAGGCAGCAGUGGGGAAUCUUGCGCAAUGGGCGAAAGCCUGACGCAGCCAUGCCGCGUGAAUGAUGAAGGUCUUAGGAUUGUAAAAUUCUUUCACCGGGGACGAUAAUGACGGUACCCGGAGAAGAAGCCCCGGCUAACUUCGUG